UACGUAGGGGGCAAGCGUUGUUCGGAAUUACUGGGCGUAAAGGGCGCGUAGGCGGCACGGCAAGUCAGGAGUGAAAGGCCUGGGCUCAACCGAGGAACUGCUUUUGAGACUGCCGAGCUAGAGUGCAGAAGGGGCAACUGGAAUUCCCAGUGUAGCGGUGAAAUGCGUAGAUAUUGGGAAGAACACCUGAGGCGAAGGCGGGUUGCUGGGCUGACACUGACGCUGAGGCGCGAAAGCUAGGGGAGCGAACGGG
rnacentral:rRNA from 1 species